AUGCUGAGCCUCACAGCAGCUUGGGGGAAUGAUGCUGGAGCAACCUCAUAACCACUACCAGUGCACUCACCUUAGCUGAUGUCCACUUUAGCAUGACUUUGACAGGACAAACUCUGGAAAACAGCAUUUUCAGGAGUAAAACAGGAGAUGAAGGCUUGCCAGCGUCUAUCAUCUGACAGUAAGUAAGUAAACAAGUUGGCGGCAACAUCUAAGAUUAUCUCCUCUCUGCUUGGGACUGGGUUAUAUUUCAGCAGAGCCUGUGACAGAAGAGAAGAACUUGUGUUUAUUUUUAUCUUCAGCUUUCACAUUGGUAGUUGUUUUUGUUCCAAGACACUGCGGUGCUUGGAGCUGGACUGGGCUGGAAGGUGUUUGGGUCCAACAAAGGACUUCUGGGGAGUCACAUUGCUGUGAGGCCACACAGACACCAUUCCACAGUGUAACAGCAUCACCUCCAAGGCAGCUCAGACACGCCCUCUUCCAGAGCAUGUGGUUUCAUCCUGUCACCAUUUGCCUUCCUUGGAAGAAUUUCUUCUAAACUGCCUUUUAUCUGCUUUUCUCCUUCUAAAUCUCCAUUGCAAUUGUUCAUAGUUGGCUGUGAUUAGUUUGUAUUUCUACGGCUUUCCUGCACUGAAUAACCACCAUUUUAUUUUAAUUAUUGGAACACAAUAAGAAAAAGAAUUGGGAAGAAAAGGAACAAGCUGUGAGACUAUCUAUUUGCAGCAUUGGUUUCCCGUGUCUACCAAGUUUUUCACUCACCUAGAUAAAGUGAACUCAUCACCACAGCUUGGAAUGGAGAGCUGAAAGUGUCCCAGAAAAAGGAAGAAGCAGGCUCAGUGAAUGGAAUGACUUCUCUGUGAGAAAAGGCAAAAUAUACUGGGUAUUUUCAUCUUGGUGAAGAGAUGAAGCCUGAUAACAUCAUGAAUGGAUGAAACCCCAGAAGUUAAUGUGUCACCAGGAGCAGGAGAGGGCCACUCAGUGCCUGCAUUACUUCUCAUACGCUUCACUUGAGUGUUUCCUUCUGACCACACUCAGGAUAUGGAGCCAGGCUUUUCCACAUCUUCCAUCUCUGUCUGACAUGGGAGCCCUAAACGUAUCAGUGUCUGUCCCUCACAGCUCUUCAAAAUGUCAGAGAAACAGCCAAAUCCCUAUUUACAAGGGGAUCACUGUCCUAGGAAGGGUCUACUGGGACGGGAAAGGCACUGAGGGACUGACAGCCACCUUCUUCCUCCCCAUGCUCUGUGGUGCCCUGGAGAAAUGGCCAUGCAGCACCUUGCCAUGCCAGCCCUUCUCCUGCCAGUCCUCCCAGAACUUGCCUCCUCUGGGCUGCAUCCAGUCCUUAUGACUAAGGCACAGUGAGAGAGGAAAAAAACCCCUCAGUGCAGCAAAGCCCUCAAGUCCUUAGUCAACAUCGAAGCGAAGCCUACGUGGUUUGGUCAAAAUCCAGCAGCACAUCUGUGGAAGAGGUGGGAGCUGGAUCCAACCCUCUUCUGACUUGGAUAGUAACCUGUAAUUACAGCUGUCAGACUGUAAGACACCUAAUAUAUCCUUCUUCGAUAUUCUUUUUUCUCUUGGUGUAAUGUUUUCUUGUAUCCAGCAUGCUGCAAUUCUGGGUUUUUCCCUUUACAGCAGUUGGUUUCUCGGCAUAGUCCCUGACCACAAAUACUUUCGAGUGGAACAGCUGGCUCUAAUGUGUGCUCUAGAAACGUUACUUUCUGCAAUAUUCCGUUUUUCUCCCAAA